rnacentral:rRNA from 1 species
GAUGAACGCUAGCGGCAGGCUUAACACAUGCAAGUCGAGGGGUAACAUUGAUUGCUUGCAAUCAGAUGACGACCGGCGCACGGGUGCGUAACGCGUAUACAAUCUACCUCUUACUGAGGGAUAGCCCAGAGAAAUUUGGAUUAACACCUCAUAGUAUGUUGAUUUGGCAUCAGAUUAACAUUAAAGGUUACGGUAAGAGAUGAGUAUGCGUUCUAUUAGCUAGUAGGUAUGGUAACGGCAUACCUAGGCGACGAUAGAUAGGGGCCCUGAGAGGGGGAUCCCCCACACUGGUACUGAGACACGGACCAGACUCCUACGGGAGGCAGCAGUGAGGAAUAUUGGUCAAUGGAGGCAACUCUGAACCAGCCAUGCCGCGUGCAGGAAGACUGCCCUAUGGGUUGUAAACUGCUUUUAUACAGGAAGAAACACUCUCACGUGUGAGAGCUUGACGGUACUGUAAGAAUAAGGAUCGGCUAACUCCGUGCCAGCCGCCGCCGUAACAC